UCUUUGAAAUGAAUAGAAUGGUCUUAUUAAGAGUUUCCUAGUCCUUUUCUUUCAUAGCUUGCCUGAGAAGAGGUUAGACAUUCAGUCCAGAAAGCCAGGCUUCUCUCUCACCUUCCUCUAUACAUUUCCGAAGACAGAGAAGAGGAAAAAGGAGGUAGAGUCUGGUAUGAGGGCACCAGGGAACAUUUCCUUACUUCACAAUUUGGUGAAAUGAGUAGAACUGCCUGACAUCACACAGAGGGUAAACUUCUGCCUAGGGCCAUGGAAAAAGGCAAGAAGGUCCCGUGACCAAGAGAUGAGCAGCUCUACAGAGGAAAUGCAGGGCCACUCUCCGACUGGACCCCACUGUGCACAAGGUGAGAAUUCAGCCUGUUUAUCAGGGUUCCCCUUAUUAAAGUAUAUGUCAAAAAGGCCUGGUAGAAAUGUUAACUCUGUGAUGUUAAUUUUGGAAAGUCUCAUCUAGAACUUUCUGGGAAGUAUUUGAAAGCACAGUUGUGGAAUCAUUUGAAGACUCAAACAUGUAAAUUAAACACUCUUCUUGGAUACAGCAGUUAGAAUAUGCAACAGAUAGGGUCUACAU
rnacentral:lncRNA from 1 species